CGUUCCCGGGCCUUGUACACACCGCCCGUCACACCACGAAAGUUGGUAACACCCGAAGCCGGUGGCCCAACCCGUAAGGGAGGGAGCUGUCGAAGGUGGGAUCAGCGAUUGGGGUG
rnacentral:rRNA from 1 species